GCAGCCCCAGGCAGCCCCGGCAGCCUCCUCAGCUUCGGAGCUCACCAAAACCAGCCAGCCACCUCGGGGAGUCACCCAAGAGCCUAGAUGGCUACAGACGGGUUGGUUACUGGUUCUGCUCUAAGGACUGGCCUGCUGGACUCGCUGCGCUUCUCUGCCAGCUGUUCCCUCUUCCGCCUUCUGUUUGCUUUGAUCUGAGGUUGACAGACCACCUGGCCUGCUAAACUGGGAAGGUGGGGGAGUCGAGCCCUCAGGAAGCCAGUCUGUGGGGGGUGAUGACAUCAUCUCAGCCACGCAAGCCCUGCAGAGAGAAGAGGGAGUCUCCCAGCUGUGGAGACGAGAAAACAAUGAUCUCCACGCGCCCCGCAGCCAGAGUGGAGUUCAAGUCCCUCAGCUUAAAAUCAAAUCUCCCCUUUGUUCCUAACUCUCCCCCACCACCCACAAAUGUCCUGCAACUGUCAUGGAGCGGCUACUACUAAUAAUAAUCACUGGCCUUGUGUUGGGCUUUGCAAACUGUUCUCACAUUCACUGCAC